UACGUAGGUGGCAAGCGUUGUCCGGAAUUAUUGGGCGUAAAGAGCUCGUAGGCGGUUUGUCGCGUCGACUGUGAAAACCCGAGGCUUAACCUCGGGCCUGCAGUCGAUACGGGCAGACUAGAGUUCGGUAGGGGAGACUGGAAUUCCUGGUGUAGCGGUGAAAUGCGCAGAUAUCAGGAGGAACACCGGUGGCGAAGGCGGGUCUCUGGGCCGAUACUGACGCUGAGGAGCGAAAGCGUGGGGAGCGAACAGG
rnacentral:rRNA from 1 species